GAUGAACGCUGGCGGCGUGCCUAAUACAUGCAAGUCGAGCGAACAGACGAGGAGCUUGCUCCUCUGACGUUAGCGGCGGACGGGUGAGUAACACGUGGAUAACCUACCUAUAAGACUGGGAUAACUUCGGGAAACCGGAGCUAAUACCGGAUAAUAUAUUGAACCGCAUGGUUCAAUAGUGAAAGACGGUUUUGCUGUCACUUAUAGAUGGAUCCGCGCCGCAUUAGCUAGUUGGUAAGGUAACGGCUUACCAAGGCAACGAUGCGUAGCCGACCUGAGAGGGUGGUCGGACACACGGGAACUGAGACACGGUCCAGACUCCUAGGGGAGGCAGCAGUAGGGAAUCUUCCGCAAUGGGCGAAAGCCUGACGGAGCAACGCCGCGUGAGUGAUGAAGGUCUUCGGAUCGUAAAACUCUGUUAUUAGGGAAGAACAAAUGUGUAAGUAACUAUGCACGUCUUGACGGUACCGAAUCAGAAAGCCACGGCUAACUACGUG
rnacentral:rRNA from 1 species